AGGCAACGGGCUUGGCGGAGGCUUGUCCCGCUCCUCCUUAGCCCGUUCCCUGAGC
ensembl:miRNA